CUGCACCGGGCCUCGUCUUGCUGUCACGGCCACUGUCCAUUUCUUCCCACCUUCCACUCCCAGGUAAUUUGAGCUCUUCUUUAAGGGGUCUGCCUACUGGCAACAACCUAGAAAAGGUAGCAUUUCUCUUCUCGAAGGAUCGCUUGCUAAUGUGGAGUUUUGGCUGUUCAGAUCAUCAGGGUUUGUGAGCAAGGCUUUUACAGUAGCCAUGCUCAACUCCGGAGAUUUUUCCAACCUCAGAGCCUUGCAUUUCACAGGCUGCAGUAUGCUGCUUCAGAAGGGAGGAGGCCUACCCUGGCUGCUGUUUAUGUGACUGUUUCUGAGAACAACGCUGCUCCUGCGCUGCUUGGCUGUUACAUCGCCCUCCUCGCUACGCACAGACUGGACUGAAGAGCCACCCUCUACACUGAGAGGCGCUUUGUCCUGCAGUAUGUAUUUCAAAGGAAUUGUAAGGAAGAUUGCUGGAGUAGCCUCAGGACCUGACUCACUCAGCCACUGCAGCUGUACAGGUUUUUGUUGUUGUUGUUGUUGUUUUUGUUUUGUUUUGUUUUUCUUCUGCUUGCUGCCAAAGACCCAUUUUCUACAUCGAAGCAUGUUAAAUAAACACAGCUCUGGCUGUGACUCUA